AACGAACGCUGGCGGCAUGCCUAACACAUGCAAGUCGAACGAGACCUUCGGGUCUAGUGGCGCACGGGUUCGUAACGCGUGGGAACCUGCCCUUAGGUUCGGAAUAACUCCCCGAAAGGGGUGCUAAUACCGGAUAAUGUCUUCGGACCAAAGAUUUAUCGCCUUUGGAUGUGCCCGCGUUGGAUUAGCUAGUUGGUAGGGUAAAAGCCUACCAAGGCGACGAUCCAUAGCUGGUCUGAGAGGAUGAUCAGCCACACUGGGACUGAGACACGGCCCAGACUCCUACGCGAGGCAGCAGUGGGGAAUAUUGGACAAUGGGCGAAGGCCUGAUCCAGCAAUGCCGCGUGAGCGAUGAAGGCCUUAGGGUUGUAAAGCUCUUUUACCCGGGAUGAUAAUGACAGUACCGGGAGAAUAAGCCCCGGCUAACUCCGUG
rnacentral:rRNA from 1 species